GGAAAAGGGAAGGGGGGAAGAGAGGAUAAUCAGCCCACACUCAGCAUCAGCUCCAUUCAGUGCUGAGACCAUAAUACCCAAUGCUCACUUUUACAGGUAAUUUAGAAAUAUAAUGUUUCCAAUAUAUAAGUACUGAAAUGUGUGUUUUGUUCCCAUUUUUAACCAAAAUUCACUGUUUCUUCAGAAGUGUUUGUUUCACACUUCUUUCUGUACCCACGGUGGAAUAUUUCAGUGGCUAUUAUAGCAUUUUCCUGUUAACAAAGGUGUAGUGUACAGAUGUGUAAAAAAUUGAAAAGUAUUCAAUAAUGCUUUCAAUAAUACUCAUUGCCAGCAUUCACUCCUGUAAUAUCAUUCUGCUUCUGCUGAGAAAGGGAGCUCUGCAGCUUCUCCAAUUGCCAGUGAAGGAGGUGUGAAGAAAUGUUCCAAGCAAUGUUCCCAGUGUGAAGAACUGCGCAACAGAGUGCAGCACUGCACAUGACCAUCAUUACAGAAAUUGCUUUGUUUGCAAUUCUCACUUACAGCUAAAGGAGAACAAAGCAAUCUUUCAAGUCUGGGUGGCUUUUUUUUUUUUUUUUUCUGUGUGCCUUGUCUAAAACGAACACAGUCUCAGCAUUUUAAUCCAACCUACAAAACUUCUUGCAGCAGUGAUGCCUCUUUCAUUUUGCCACAGCCUGUGGCAUUUUGCAUCCACAACACCUCUUAACGAGUCUGAAUAAAACACAGGGAUUGAUGUAAAAACCUAACUGUGAAGAAACACCUCCUCCUGCAACUCACUUGGGGGGUUUUCUAUGCUGUCAGUGCUGUGCUGAACUGUAAUGCAUUUCUCCUUCCAAUAUAUUUUUUGUAAGGUCUGGAUGGUAUACAAGUUCCAUCAUACAGAAAUAAACAUACUGGUUGGCUCUUCAGCAUGGAAGCUCAGGGAAAUACGGCUUUAUAAAAUUUAAUUUGCAAACUGAAAUGCAGUGACCAAGAAUCUCUGCAGUUAGUAACCAAUUCCAGAUUUGGGGCUGAUGGUGAAUGUCUCAGAGCCUCUUCCUCGCCCCCAAAAAACGCCGUCCGUGCGUAGCAGCGCUGCAGUACCACACUGCGUCCAGCAGGUGGCGCUGCUGCUCACAGGCGGCGGUGGGGCGGGCACAUUCAAAUCUACCGCGGCGCUGAGCCAAUCGGCUGCCACCGGGCGCGGAGCGGGGGCAGAUGGGAGCAGAGCGGUCCGGUCCCAGGGCUCGCUCGGGAGCGCGAACGGAGAGAGAAGAGACAGCGUAGAGCCUGCGGGGGAGGAUAAUCGAGAGCUGUAGGUCUUGAUAUCGCUUCCCACUCUGAGCACGAGGAGGAGGCUCGGGAUGCCAAUCUGGGUGAUGCUGCAGCCGAGGCCCUGUGAGCAGCAGUUACACUGCAGCACCCUGCUACCCACAACGGCCUUCCAGUUAACUCUUCUCUGUAUUCUUAGAACGCUUCUUGGUCACGUCACGUGUGAGUCCAAACCAGAGGCUCUGGCCUCCAACUGAUGAUAAAUCUCUCAUCUCUGACCUCCAAGGGGAUUUGUCAGCUGUCCCCUCAUAUUCCCAAUGCAGUGGAACAACACCCACUGUAUAAGAAAACAUUUCCCACCACCACUGCCACCAGUAAUGCCUGCAGGGAAUGCAAGCAGCAGAGGAGAGAAGUGCUGAAAAGUCCUGCAAUCAUUUUGGAAGCCAGGGGCUUGCUGAAGAGUAUCUGAUACCCAUUGUGGAAGCUACAAAGCCUCAUCAUAACCUUGUUUGCACGUUUCCCACCUCUCCAUCUGUGGAACGUCUCUAAAACCACCAAUAUGAAUAAGAUAAGUACCAACGUUACUUUGCAGCCUGAGCUCUGUACAGUCAGGCAGGAUGUUUUUAUUUGUUUCACACCAAGGAAAAAAUAACACCGGUGAACCUCCAGGUGGUUUUUGGCACAUCUGAAAGCUUCCCGUGGGCUCACCCAGCAGUCACGUGCAAUAGGGCACAAUGCACCACAGCACUGUGCAGGAGACACGCAGCCAAGAGCAACACUGCAGAACGCUUUCUGGGACAAAAUGACCUCACCAUAAUGUUUGAACUGGGAUACACAAUUCCAGAGGCUUUGAUGUUAGUCCAGGCCAGGGGAUCCGAAAACAUAGUGUGAAUGUUGGGUUUUCCUGAUGAACUUUGCUAUCUAAGUGUUUUAUAGUUACUUUUUAUUCUUUGCAAUUAAAAUAACCAGGGAAAGAACCUUCUUUGUCUUUCUUUGUCCCUCGCUCAGUCUGUAGGGCAUUUUCACAUGCAAACAAAGUAUCACAACACUGCUCAAGUACUUCAACCUUCCUGGAAAAUAACACUUGAUGAGUAAGACACCAUUGAUUCUUUCAGUAGGGACUGUGAAAUAUGAGGAAUAAAGCACAGCAAGGCUUAUCACAGGAAGCAGGCAGAAAUGAAGGGACUCUGAGGGUGACCUGUCCUGCUUAGAGCACGGAGGCUGCUCCCAAAAAUGCCUGUGCAAGUACUAUGGCCUUGUCAGCAUUCUCUUUAGGUACUCAGCAGUUGCACCAAAUACAACAUCCCCUGUAAUGUAUUGCAUGGAUCCUAUCUGCAAUUGUUUAAACCCGGUGCUUUUUUAAAGACCAUUACCCUUUUUACCAAUUGCCUUCAGCACAACUGGCUCUUUAUGGCAUGUUUACAGUAUAUAUUAGAGAGAGCGGAGUGUGUAAAUUCCUCCCAUGCCGGCAGUGGUGGUCUGAUGCAGAACAGGCUGCCUCUGUGCAAAGGCUGCACAUGAAAAUAGCAGAGGGAAGACAACGUAUCCACAGUGGAUGAGCCUUUCUGAGUUGGGUGUACCUGCGUUCCAGAUGCAGGGAUGGCCCAACUGUUAGAAUACAUCGUAUGGCAACGUCUCCUCACUGUAGCCAACAGUAGAGAGCACUCGUUUGUUCUAAAGAAAGCUCUGGAAAACACCCUUGGUCGUUUCUCUCCGAGAUCAUAAGAAAUCAAGAGGGUACAAAUGAACUGAGAAACCAUUUCAUGUCUAAUAGGCCACUCCUGUUCAGGUUGGGUGUUAGGGAGAUGCUGAAGAGUGGUGAGGUUGGAGCAGGCUGUGUGGGCAGGCAGUGGAAUCAGCCCCCCUGAAGUGCUCGAGAAGAGGGUUGUGUGGCUCUGAAGGCCGUGGUCCGGAGCGCUCACCGGCCUGCUAUUCUCACAGAGAUAAAGGAGGGCGAGAAGGAGAAAAUUCUGAAGCUAGAGAGCUCAAUUUUAAACCAGAAAUCUGAGCGUUUCUCUGGAGGGAAAAGAAAAGCAUUGCUUUCCCUUCAUAGCUCCCAAGCGAAACAUGAAAGCUGCCUGUCCAGCCAAGCGCUUGGGGUCUCCCGGCUGUGCCCGUGACGUUAACUCUCCAUGUUUACUGCGUGAGGAGAGCUCCCUGAGCGCAGCGUUACGCCCGAGCACGGUGUGCAGCCCGGGCUGCCCGGCUGGCAUCGCCCCGGCCCAGCGGGGCCCACGGAUGCGUGCGUGAGCAGCCACAGUCACACGGACACCGGCAGCCUCACAGUGAGAGCGCCGCAAAAUCCCUCGAUGACGACUGAAGCAAUUUCGGCUUUUAAAAAAAAAAAGAAAGCAGGCUUUGCCAAGCGUCCUUGUUUUGGACUUGUCUUGACCUCGCUCCCACCGGCUGCAGCUUUCUGCCCAGCAUCCCGGUGAUGGCCAGUGCUGCGGGCGUUUGCUUCUCGCACCGAUUCGCGGGGUGGAAGCGCUGCCUGCCCUCCCACCUCAGCUCCAGCAGCCCUCUGCUCGGGUUGCCCUGGAGACAAAGCUUCCUGUGCGUAAUCCAAGCUUAUCCAGCUCCUUAUCCUACAUGUGACCCUUAAUUACUUGCUAAAUUAGAAUGGUUUUCUGAAAAUCACAAGGGGAGGUUAAUAUGUUCUUCCAGAGCUGGUCAAGCUAAGAUGACACUAAAUUCACAGGGAAUUCAAAUUACAUGAUCCCUGAAGGCGUCUCUUUCAGAAGGAAGAUGAACUUUCCCAAUAGGAGGCAGUGUGCCAUGAUAAUGCUUCUGUCACUCACUUUCCUUGUCCUGCUUGUCUAGCUGCAGCCUAAUCUGCUAUGAACAAUGUAGUAAGUAAAUAUCAGGUUGAUUAAUUAUGGUGCGAGAUUCAGUAACUGCUUGUCUUCUAUAAUUAACACGGUCAUUGAAAUUAAGUAACACACUUCAUACGUGGAUUCCUGGACUAAAAGAAAUAACACGGGAGAAUCCUCAGGGCUGUCGCAGGGGAGGUGAGGGAAUAACAACAGAGGGUCAAAAUAUUAAUUAUCUCUUCAAAAUGACUGUACGUUUUAAGAUGUGCUUCACACGAGAAGGGACUUUACUGCUUCUGCAUGUCCCCACAGAGACAAAACAGAGUAGGUCUGUGAAAAUACUGCUUCUGUUUGCUGACAGCACGCCUUUCUUUCACCGCUGUGAUAGAUGGAAGCGGUCAGAACAGGCGCACAUCGCGCAGAUAUGCUCACCCACCUUCCUAAGGGCAAGCACGGUAAGCAGUGGUUCCCUCAGCCCUCCUUAGAAAGGCAGCACCGUGACCUUGUUGUCUUCCUUUUCUGUGUUUGAAUUCGCCUACCAUUUGCAGGACAGCACUGAAGGAAGCCCUAACAAUUGAGGAGUGGUUUUUGUUCCCUCGGCAGGAAGGAACUCUGAGCUCAUGUGGUCAGGACAGCCUGGAGGGGUUGCUCGCUUUCCCAGCGCUUUGAGCGCUUCUCCCAAAAGUUCUGAUUUUCACAGAAGCACAGAAGAAUACAGGUAAGUAAGAGAGAGAUAAGGAUGUAUUUUACACGUACGUGGCAAAAAAAAAAAGAAAGCAUUUUCUUAAGAAAUCCACGCUUCCCUUCUUUCAGUUUCUGCAUUCAAACGAUGAGGGUGGAAAACAAAGUCACCCUCAUUCAGUGAUUUCCCUCUGCCUUCGAGUCCUCCAUACAACAUUAGGAAAAAGCCAGGGACCUUCCUGGGACCACUGCCUUCUUUGGAGAAGGGUCGGUUCAGAGGUGUGGGCCGGAUUUUCACACUCAUCACAGGAACCUCAUGGCUGCCAUAAGAAAACAGACUGAAUACCUAAAUAAAUGAAUGGGGAGCACGGGGUCUGGUGACACAGAUUCCCCUGGGAAUAAAAGAAAGAGGCAAUUACUGUUCUCUCUCAGUCCAGUGAGAACGUGUAAAGGAACCAGCAAAGUGUCACGUCUUCUGCUAUCCCCUCGUGUAGACCAGACCAGAGAAGUGUAGAAAGGAAGAAAAUGCUACCACUGAAAAUAAUCCUUUUAAGUGCUAGGCUACAAGGCUGCAGCAAGCUGUGAUUGGUUCCUCUCACAGCAAAACCAACAGGGGAACGAAGGUAUCUGAAUAAGAGAUCCCCUUCUAAACAUACCAAUUCUCUUGUGCCUUUGGAUUGACAUCACUACCAGGAAUGAAGAUAAUCAAUUUGAGGGAGGGGGAAUAUGCUAAACACUUGAGAUUGUGUCCAGCUCUUAAGAUACCUGCAUUCCUUGUUUAUUUCUUUGUUUUAUAUCCUUUUGAUCAGUAGCUUAGAAAAAGAACAGAAAAUAGUCAUACAAUAAUGCCUUGCAGCCUGUGGCAUAUUCCAUUUCAGGAUCCUAACAAAAGGUCUGUAGGCAUGUAAGAAUAGUUUCAGUCUAAGUUUAGUUCAGUCUGGAAAAGCUUUUUAGUUCCCUGUAAUAAAAUGGAGCAAAUUAGUUUGAACAAGAAAGAGUAACAACACAAGUAGUGCUUGAGGGAUCUAGGAAGGCAGGCAGCGAGAUCCUUCAGUUAGCCAAGUCUGGCAAUUAACUCACCAAUUAACUCACAAAAAAGACUUCUACGGGUUUCACAGUGACCAACAGACCCUGCCAGUGGGGUCUCCUAGUCUUCAGGGUAUGGCAGGUAAGCUCUGAGGAAUCCUAGUGGUCAUCACAGGCUUUCUCUGGGCCUUCUGUGAUCACUACUGCCUCAGCAGGGAGCAGCAAGGGCUGUGUGCUGGCACGUCGGCUGCUCCAAUUUGUAGCCCAGCAUAUAAUUCCAAAUGUAGCUUGUCAGCAGUUUGCACUAAGAAACUUCUCUGAGGCUGGAGUACACUCUCCUCCUGGUCAGCUCCUCUAGCACCAUUAUAACCUUUCCAAGCACCAGAGCAGGCUUGCCCAAGGGGCUGGAACUUUUGCUUUGUUUCAAGGCUGAAACUGAUCAUAGACCAUGGAAUAUUUCUGUUAUCUAAAAUAUGCAUCUACGGUUCACUGCUUUCUUUGAGUCAACAGCAAAAUAAUAAUAACAAUAAUAAUAAUUUUAAAAAAUCAACAAAUUUUACUGGAAGCACAUCCACAGUAUUUUUUUAUGUGGCUACUAAGUAUUGAUGCCGGAAAGUUGCUGGAAAUUAAGUGUGUAAUUAAUGCUAAGAACUGCAUUUUGACAGUUUUUAGUCUGAAGAACUCUCUUCCUCUGGUGUUAAAGGAGCCUGCUAGUGAUCUAACUUUUGCAUACGGAAGGAUGUGCAAGCCGCAGAUUGCGAGAGCACUACCCUGCUUAGUCUAGGGAGAGAAUACAGAUUGUUAUUAUUUAGAUGGUAGAGAGGAAAAAUCAUCUCCCCCAGUGUGGUAGUGAUGCUCUUCUGUUAAGGUGCUGUUGGACACCUUUGCUUCAAGGGAGGUAUUGCUGUUCUAUGACUGAUUUGUUGUCCACCAGGACCUGAAGUCAUUCUCCCCAGGGCUGCCUUCCAGCUGGUUGCUCCCCAGCCUCUCCUGGUGCAUGUGUUCCACCGCAGAUGAAGGACUUUGCAUUUCCCUUUGUUGAACUUCAGGAGAUUCUGCUGGCCCAUUCCUGCAGCCUGCCCAGGUCUCUCUAGAAUCAGACCCACAGUUACACGCCAGGCCUAAGAAACUGACAGACUUUCUUCUUCUAGAUAGAAUAGGGCUAAGAAAGUUGAUGGAAGUGUGUAUGGGGUAAGUAGAGAAAAACUGGUUGUCGAUGACACUCCUUAUUCUGAACACUUAAAGCCUUAGCUGCGCUGUUCUAAGCAUCGCUGUUUGAUUAUGUAAUGCUUAGGGGGUUGUUUCUGCUUUUGGACUGGGUAGACAAAAACUUUACACUGUGAGAAAAGCCAGAAAGGGGCAUGAGAGCAACGCUCAUAGGAAAAUGCAGUCAGUGAUUUUCUUUUAUGUCUAGAAAAUUGUAAAUAACCGUAGCAAUAUCUGUUCUGCCUUUGCACAGCUAUGCACAAAAAGCUCACUGGGACCACUCACAUCAUUUUCAGUCGUUAUCAGCCAUAGCCAGUGGCAGAGAGUAUCUGCAACAUGCGUGCUUUGCAACAUCUUCAAAUGCAGGCAUCUGUAAACUGAGAUUCCCUUUCUGAAAGCUGGUAUGUGAUUAAAGCAUGGUUGUUGGAAUGUCUCUGACUGCUUUAAAGUAAUCUAAAGGCUCGUAUAAUGGAUUAAAAAGAUUCCUUUUGUGUUCGAACAAAUACACAUGAUAUUGAGAAGCAUUUUCCUGACUGCUCUAGAGUGCAGUAAGCAAGAGAGAAACACUUCACUAUGCUUGCUAUACAAGGAGUCCAGAAUGGUCACAGCAGAGGUAAAUGCCUAUGCUGUAGACAUAGAUGUGCAAGAAGUGAAGUUAGAUUAAUCUACUACAUAACCACAGACAAGCCAAUUACUUACUAUCUCAGGCUAGGGCCACAUUCCAAAAUUUUGCCUGUGUUAAUGACAGGAAGCAGUGCUUUACUGUCCCUGGACACAGGGGCCUGGGCACCCUGCUCUGGGUGGCACCAAAGGGGCAGUGGUUGGACCAGCUGGACCAGAGGUACUUCCAACCUCAGCCAGUCUGUGAUCCUGUGACAAACGUGUUCUGGUUGUGUCCUCAACUAAAUUACACCUGCCAACUUUGCCAUGUAUGUGCAAUUCUGAAGUGCAAGAAAACUUGCCAAGUUUACUAACAGUUUAUGCUGUUGAAGAAGAUGCCUUACAUGUAUCAGUGAGAGUCCUUUGUGCUGGUGUACACUGUGCACAGCACUGUGCUUUCUGUAGAAAAACUUGGACGUCAACACCUUUGCAGAGCUGGUACAACAACAAAGAAGUUCAUGUCAACAGAACAUUCUGUGAGGCACAGUGUGUAUUUGUAGAACUAAAGACCUUCAGCAACAAAGGUAUUUUCUGGGAUAGAAGUUACAACUGAGACCACGGUGAUCUCAACAGUAGUUUUUGCAACCGGCGUGGCCUUUCAUGAAGACUUUCUGGCAGUUUACUCUGAUGGGACCCUCCCAGAAGAGCAACAUUGGUACACACACGCUCACAUGAAAGGACCCAAUCUUUAAGGCAUUAACCAAACCUUCCUGGCGCUGCAGGGCUGAGUUUCACAGAGUAAAUGCAAAGGCCACAAAGGGAAGCUAUUGAGAAAAUGGGUCAUUCACUACUCUUUUAAAUAAAAUGAUUUGACAUUUGAUGUCCCUGAAGUCUAUGCCACUUAGCCAACAUAUAUGUAAAGUGUACAUUUAUGUGUAUGUAUCUGCAAGUUUGUGUGCCUACACAUGUAUGUACAUACAGUUUGGUUACUUCAUUUUCCUCGACCAAGGGAAAGGAGUAGCUGAACUGUAGCAGUUAUUGCAGCGUAGAGGAACUUUCAGAACAACGUGAUUAUACAAGCUAAGUGGAGUUUUCCUUUUUGACAGUGUGGUAAUUAAGAAAUACCCAUAUGGUGAUCUGGGGAAUCCCAUUCCCUUACUACAGACCGCUGUGAAGCAGUCUGGAGUUUCACAUGUUGUGUGACAAUUAUGAAAUAACUGUGAAUUACUAUAUAAUAUAAAGGGGCACAAUCAGUCAAACGACAGAUGAGUUGACUGCAGUGAUGGCAUAUGCAAAAGCAGCUGCAUAAUGUUCUCUUUUACCCACAAGUACGGUGAAAAAACUUAAUGUAGUGUCAUGAAGUUCUGCAGCCCCAUGUUAGCUCUCUUAAAUUAUGAACUGUUCCACGCUUGUGCCUUUAAGCUGUAGAUUUCAGACAUGCUUAUGUGUGGGGGUAAUAAAGAGAUUUGUUUCAAGGCUGG
ensembl:lncRNA